rnacentral:rRNA from 1 species
ACUCAAAGAAAUUGACGGGGGCCCGCACAAGCGGUGGAGCAUGUGGUUCAAUUCGAUGGUACGCGAGGAACCUUACCUGGGCUUGACAUGGGGGUGACCGGCGCAGAGAUGUGCCUUUUUCGCAAGAAACACCCUACACAGGUGCUGCAUGGCUGUCGUCAGCUCGUGUCGUGAGAUGUUGGGUUAAGUCCCGCAACGAGCGCAACCCUUGUCCUGUGUUACCAGCGCGUCAUGGCGGGGACUCACAGGAGACUGCCUCAUUUAAGAGGAGGAAGGUGGGGAUGACGUCAAGUCCUCAUGGCUCUUACGUCCAGGGCUACACACGUGCUACAAUGGCCGGUACAAAGAGUCGCAAUACCGCGAGGUGGAGCUAAUCUCAAAAAGCCGGUCUCAGUUCGGAUUGGAGUCUGCAACUCGACUCCAUGAAGUUGGAAUCGCUAGUAAUCGCGCAUCAGCUACGGCGCGGUGAAUACGUUAUCGGGCCUUGUACACACCGCCCGUCAAGCCAUGAAAGCCGGGGGUACUCGAAGUGGUUGCCUUAACCGUAAGGAGGGCGCCCCUAAAGUAAAACCGGUGAUUGGGGCUAAGUCGUAACAAGGUAGCCGUAUCGGAAGGUGCGGCUGGAUCACCUCCUUUCUAAGGAG